rnacentral:lncRNA from 1 species
UGGAUAGGUCUCAAGCAUUCAAGAACAACGAAGGAAAAGAUAUAAAGGCAGUUCAUCCAAAUCUCUAGGAGAGAUGGGUCUUGAAUUCCUCAUGGGGAAUCUUAUCCAUGGAUGGAGGUCUUGUGCUCAAAGAGCCUUCACCCCUUAGGGGUUGUUUGGAUAGAUGGUAUAUACAAAACUCAAUUCCUAUAAACUAGAAAAGUUAUCUAACCAAAUAGAAUCUUGGUUGGCUAUUCUAAUUAAUCUGCGUAUAUGAAGUUGGACACCUAACCAAAUAGAAUCUUGGUUGGCUAUUCUAAUUAAUCUGCGUAUAUGAAGAACUUAUUUCUAGGAAACUUAGAAUUUCACG